rnacentral:rRNA from 1 species
UGAGGAAUAUUGCGCAAUGGGGGAAACCCUGACCCAGCAACGCCGCGUGAAGGAUGAAGUAUUUCGGUAUGUAAACUUCGAAAGAAUAGGAAGAAUAAAUGACGGUACUAUUUAUAAGGUCCGGCUAACUACGUGCCAGCAGCCGCGGUAAUACGUAGGGACCAAGCGUUGUUCGGAUUUACUGGGCGUAAAGGGCGCGUAGGCGGCAUGACAAGUCACUUGUGAAAUCUCUGGGCUUAACCCAGAACGGCCAAGUGAUACUGUCGCGCUAGAGUGCAGAAGGGGCAAUCGGAAUUCUUGGUGUAGCGGUGAAAUGCGUAGAUAUCAAGAGGGACACCUGAGGUGAAGACGGGUUGCUGGGCUGACACUGACGCUGAGGCGCGAAAGCCAGGGGAGCAAACGGGAUUAGAUACCCAGGUAGUCCCUGAGCGGGCUGGCAAGGCGCAU